rnacentral:sRNA from 1 species
UGGGUCAAAAUUGCCAAACCUCUCAAUAUGUGUGAAUAAAGUAGGAGUCUGGCUUUUCUUAUGAAUGGAUAUUUCUAAACAAACAUCUGAAAAUUGAGGAGCAUCUAUGCAAGAAAAUUAAAAAUUAACAUUUUAUAUUAUAUGGAUUGAUUUUCUUUUUUUAAACAAUAGAUAAGUUUAUAUUCUAACCAACUAGGAUUUUUCUCAGGAGCACAUGGAUGAAGUAUGCUCCUCGCAGCUUCUGACUUCAGUAAGGCGCAUGGUUUUGACCCUUACCCAGCAAAAUGAUGAGAGCAAAGAGUUUGUAAAGUUCUUUCAUAAACAACUUGGAAGUAUAUUACAGGAUUCACUGGCAAAAUUUGCUGGCAGAAAACUGAAAGACUGUGGAGAAGAUCUUCUUGUAGAGAUAUCUGAAGUGUUGUUCAAUGAAUUGGCUUUCUUUAAGCUUAUGCAAGAUUUGGA